rnacentral:rRNA from 1 species
GGGGGGGGGGGGCGGGGGGGGGGGGGCGGGGGGGGCGGGGGGGGGCGGGGCGUCGGGCGCGGGCGAGUGGGGGACGGGGGGGUCGUGCGGCGGAACGUGCCCAGGCGUGGGGGAUAACUGCUCGAAAGAGCAGCUAAUACCGCAUACGCCCUGAGGGUGAACGCGGGGGACCGUAAGGCCUCGCGCGAUUGGAGCGGCCGAUGUCAGAUUAGCUAGUUGGUGGGGUAAGGGCCUACCAAGGCAACGAUCUGUAGUUGGUCUGAGAGGACGACCAGCCACACUGGGACUGAGACACGGCCCAGACUCCUACGGGAGGCAGCAGUGGGGAAUUUUGGACAAUGGGCGCAAGCCUGAUCCAGCAAUGCCGCGUGCAGGAAGAAGGCCUUCGGGUUGUAAACUGCUUUUGUCAGGGAAGAAAUCUUCUGGGCUAAUACCCCGGGAGGAUGACGGUACCUGAAGAAUAAGCACCGGCUAACUACGUG